rnacentral:rRNA from 1 species
ACAUAGAGUCAUUUUGCCCCUGAACAUACCCGAUCUCAUCUGUUCUUGGAAGCUAAGCAGUGUUGGGCCUGGUUAGUACUUGGAUGGGACUCAUUUUGUGAGCAGAAGUAGUUUAAUGCC